rnacentral:misc_RNA from 1 species
GAUGAAGAACGCAGCGAAAUGCGAUACAUAAUGUGAAUUGCAAAUUCAGUGAAUCAUCGAGUCUUUGAACGCACAUUGCGCCCCCUGGUAUUCCGGGGGGCAUGCCUGUCCGAGCGUCAUUGCUGCCCUCAAGCACGGCUUGUGUGUUGGGCCCCGUCCUCCGAUCCCGGGGGACGGGCCCGAAAGGCAGCGGCGGCACCGCGUCCGGUCCUCGAGCGUAUGGGGCUUUGUCACCCGCUCUGUAGGCCCGGCCGGCGCUUGCCGAUCAACCCAAAUUUUUUAUCCAGGUUGACCUCGGAUCAGGUAGGGAUACCCGCUGAACUUAAGCAUAUCAAUAAGCGGAGGA